rnacentral:rRNA from 1 species
GUCUUUUUGAGUUAAUAAAAAGUCAAAUCUGUCCAAUGAAUUUUAUUUAAAAAAUAUAUUAAAUGACUGCAGUAAUUUAACUGUACUAAGGUAGCAUAAUCAUUUGUUUUUUAAUUUGAAACUUGAAUGAAAGAUUAAAUGAAAAAUAAACUGUUUUAAUUUUAAUUGAAUAAAUUUAUUUUUUUAUUUAAAAAAAUAAAAUUUUUUUAAAAGACGAUAAGACCCUAUAGAAUUUAAUUUAAUAUAAUUAUAUUUAAAAUUAAAUUUAAAAUUUAUAUAUUUAUAUUAAAUUUAAUUGGGGUUAUUUUAAAAUUUAAUUAAUUUUUUAACUUUUAAAACAAAAAUUUUUGUUAAUUUUGAUUAAUUAAUAAUUAUUAAAAGAAUAAAUUACCUUAGGGAUAACAGCGUUAAUUUUUAUAUUAAUUUUAUUAAUUUAGAAAGUUUGCGACCUCGAUGUUGAAUUAAGAUAAAUUAUUAAUAUAAAAAUUAAAAAAUUAAGUCUGUUCGACUUUUAAAAUCUUACAU